CAAAAAGCGGCAGAAUGUCCAUAUUUAAUAUUUCAACGCACUAAGGUUGCACAAAAUGAAUGCAAAUCUGACAAAGAAUGUAGAAAAGAUUACUGCUGCGUAAAAAACAAACAGUGUCAAGGUAGUUGCCAACCAUCAAAAAAGGAAAACGAACGAUGUCAAGAAGAAACUGAAGCAAUUAAGACAACAUGUGGAUGUUCUUAUGGUUUCGAGUGUUUAAAAGAUGGAACUGGAAGUAGCUUUUGUAAAAAGACGCUUAAAGAUCCAGAAGAACAUACUGAAGUAAAAAAGAAAAAAGUCAAAAGAAAUUAAAGUACAUCAUGCAUAUAUUAUUGAAAUGAACCAUUAAAAUACCGCCAUACUUUCACAUAAAAACCGUUUGUUCCCAAACUCAAUCAAUUUUUAAAUCUUAUGUUUUAUGGUACUGAUGAAAUAAUGUGAUAAAAACUCUGGGUGGAUAAAAAGUAAAGAUUAUACGCAUAUGUAAAUAUGCAAAUAUCGUUACUCUGUAGUUUAUCAUUGUUAUCUACUAGUUGGUUUGCUGUUAAUUCUUCAAGUAAACGAACUUUAUGCGUUUUUGAUCCGCAUUUUACUCUCAAGAUUAUUGUUAAAUUGAUAUCGAGGUAAAAAACUUCCUCGCUUAUUGAUAUCGAGGUAAAGUACUUCCUCGCUUGCGAUUACAUAUUUUUAUGACUGAUGAGAGUUAUUUUACUGUGAAAAACGCUUAUUAAUAAACAAGUCAAUUUAAUCUAAAAUAUUUCCAUACAUCAAGACAACAAUGACCUCGUUAGGUAAACAUCCGCCAACUUUAUUUUUUAAACACGCAUUAACCUGCAAAAGAAUACAGAACUUACAAAGUUCACUGCUUUUCAAUGACCUAAAUUGUGAACAUUCCCUUUAACGCAUUUGUUACAUUGUUACAUUUAAAAAAAAUAGUUCAGCAGCCCAACUUCAAGAUCAUUAACUUCUACAUCAUCAUAGCCUUCAUUACCACCAGCCCCUUUAUCACCUACAAUACUUUAUCAGUCGUAGUUUUUUAUUUUUACUAAAGAUUAACAAACUUUUAUAACAAUAUCAAAAAAAACU